rnacentral:rRNA from 1 species
UACAGAGGGUGCGAGCGUUGUCCGGAAUCACUGGGCGUAAAGGGCGCGUAGGUGGCGAUCCAAGUCCGAUGGUGAAAGCUCGAUGCUCAACAUCGAGUCGGCCACGGAUACUGGGUUGCUUGAGCACUGUGAGGGGCAGAGUGGAAUUCCGGGUGUAGCGGUGGAAUGCGUAGAGAUCCGGAAGAACACCGGUGGCGAAGGCGGUCUGCUGGGCAGUUGCUGACACUGAGGCGCGACAGCGUGGGGAGCAAACAGG